rnacentral:rRNA from 1 species
CCCAGACUCCUACGGGAGGCAGCAGUGGGGAAUAUUGCACAAUGGGGGGAACCCUGAUGCAGCGACGCCGCGUGAGUGAAGAAGUAUUUCGGUAUGUAAAGCUCUGUCAGCAGGGAAGAAGAAAGACGGUACCUGACCAAGAAGCCCCGGCUAACUACGUGCCAGCAGCCGCGGUAAUACGUAGGGGGCAAGCGUUAUCCGGAUUUACUGGGUGUAAAGGGAGCGUAGACGGCAGGGCAAGUCUGGAGUGAAAGGCAGGGGCCCAACCCCUGGACUGCUCUGGAAACUGUCCGGCUGGAGUGCAGGAGAGGUAAGUGGAAUUCCUAGUGUAGCGGUGAAAUGCGUAGAUAUUAGGAGGAACACCAGUGGCGAAGGCGGCGUACUGGACUGUAACUGACGUUGAGGCUCGAAAGCGUGGGGAGCAAACAGGAUUAGAUACCCCAGUAAAA